rnacentral:lncRNA from 1 species
CUUAAAACAUAAACAGCAGUACUUUAGAAACUCGUUCUUUCUCAGAUCUGCAAGUCUGUGGAACAGUCUACCAGCAGAUCUAAAACUCUGUGGUUCGCUUAACUCGUUCAAAAUUAGUAUACGUAAACAUUAUGUAUCUAAGUUAAGUUCUUAUAGCCCUCCUGGCUUUACUUCGAUCUAUAAGCUAUAAAAGUUAUUUGUGUAAUGUACUGUACGAACGUGCUUGGCUGCUUGUUGUUUACUUGAUCUCAUGGCCUUCCUGAGGCCCCUCAUGACCCUCUUGCAAAGUAAUUUGUAGGUUAGGCUAGUGAUUUGUUCAAAAUAGUUAGAAAUAGUGAUAUUUGCUUACAGAUGACUCUAUAAUUUCUAUAUGUACUUUUUCACGAAAUCAUGAGAAAAGUCAUUGUGCUCUGUGUGCAACAAGCAGCAAAGUCUAGUUUUAAUGUUGGGGUCAGGUGUCAAUUGGGACGCAAGUCCUGUUUCUUUCCCCAGUCACACUGGUGUCCUCUGUUUACUGUUGAUGUACUGUAUGCGUAAUGAUUAUGUUGUGACAAAUUAUUAAAUUA